rnacentral:rRNA from 1 species
GAUGAACGCUGGCGGCGUGCCUAAUACAUGCAAGUCGAGCGAACAGAUGAGGAGCUUGCUCCUCUGACGUUAGCGGCGGACGGGUGAGUAACACGUGGAUAACCUACCUAUAAGACUGGGAUAACUUCGGGAAACCGGAGCUAAUACCGGAUAAUAUAUUGAACCGCAUGGUUCAAUAGUGAAAGACGGUUUUGCUGUCACUUAUAGAUGGAUCCGCGCCGCAUUAGCUAGUUGGUAAGGUAACGGCUUACCAAGGCAACGAUGCGUAGCCGACCUGAGAGGGGGAUCGGCACCACUGGAACUGAGAAACGGUCCAAACUCCUACGGGAGGCAGCAGUAGGGAAUCUUCCGCAAUGGGCGAAAGCCUGACGGAGCAACGCGGCGUGGGUGAUGAAGGUCUUCGGAUCGUAAAACGCUGUUAUUGGGGAAGAAAAAAUGUGUAAGUAACUAUGCACGUCUUGACGGUACCUAAUCAGAAAGCCACGGCUAACUACGU